rnacentral:lncRNA from 1 species
UUUAUUUAAAUCACAAUGAUACAAAGUUUAUACAAGAAAGACUGGCUUGGAUAAGUUUUUUGGGAGGAAGGGUUUAAACAUUUCAAGGUUUUUGAAGUUGGUUCAUUUCACUCUGCCUUCUUUCGACAAAAUGUGCGCCUUUUAUAGGCGAGAUGUACAUAAAGGAGAGGUUCUAAGAGCUACUACGUGGCCUCAACACAGUUGGCCGACACUUUUUGAUAAGAGAUAAGAAAGAAAACUUUAAUAAUGCAAGUCGGGUACUCUUUGGGCCCCAUCGUCACAUGCGUUAUUAAUUUUCUUUCAAACUUAUUUCGACGCGUGCUUCAACAGUUUUUCUUUCUUCUGGAAAGUAGUGAUAAAGGAAGCACUCUGACUCUGACUAUUACAAGACAUAAAGUAGGCAUCCCCACUUGACUAUGCUAGCUAAUAAUACAAACUGUGGAAACUGUAGAUUAUCUUUAUGUAUCCAAGUUGUGCAGGGCAAUGGAGUCGAAACUCAUGCCUGAGUCGUCGUCUUCAUAUGGAUCCUGGGCAUCCUGGAAUUGUGCAAUACUAUCUUCUUCNN